rnacentral:rRNA from 1 species
UACGAAGGGGGCUAGCGUUGCUCGGAAUUACUGGGCGUAAAGGGCGCGUAGGCGGACAGUUUAGUCAGACGUGAAAUCCCUCGGCUUAACCGGGGAACUGCGUCUGAUACUGGAUGGCUUGAGAUUGGGAGAGGGAUGCGGAAUUCCAGGUGUAGCGGUGAAAUGCGUAGAUAUCUGGAGGAACACCGGUGGCGAAGGCGGCAUCCUGGACCAACACUGACGCUGAGGAGCGAAAGCCAGGGGAGCAAACGGG